UUAGAUUUUAUUUAUUAAUUUUAUUUAUUUAUUUAAUUUAUUUAAUAAAAAUAAUUUUAAAAUUUUAAGUUUUAGUAUUUUAUAAAGAAAAAAUAAUUUUAAUUAUAGUUUAUUUGUAUUGUAAAAGAAAAUUGAAAUAAUUUGAAAAAUUUUUAUUUUAAAAGAAAAUUUAAUUUAUUGUACCUUGUGUAUCAGGGUUUAUUAAAUAAAAAAUUAUUAUAUUAAUUUUUCUCGAAUUUUAAAGAUUUAAUUAUAUAUAAAAGUUACUGUGGAAUAAUUAUUUUUAAUAUAUAAUUAGAAAUGAAAUGUUAAUCGUUUUAAAAUAUAUCUAGUUUUUUAAGAAAUAAAUUUAAUUUAGAUUUAUAAAUUUAAAUUAUUUAAUUAUUUUAAAUAAUUUAUUUUAUAAAAUUAAUAUUUUAAGGGAUUAGCUUUAAAAUAAAUUUUUAAAUUUUAAAUUAAUUAUUUAAUAAAUAUAAGCUUAAAAAUAGCUAUUAUUAAUAAAUUUGUUAUAAUUUAUUUUAAAAAUUUAAUUAUUUAAUAUAAAAUUAAAUUAUUUAUUAAAAUAUAAAUUUUAAUAGUAAAAAUUUAUAAAUUAUGAUAAAAUUAGUAUAUAAAAUUUUUAUAAAUAAUUAUUUAUGAAAGGUUUAAAUAAGGAAUUCGGCAAAAUAUAUAUUCACCUGUUUAUCAAAAACAUGUCUUUUUGAAUUAAAUUUAAAGUCUAACCUGCCCACUGAUAAAAAUUAAAGGGCCGCGGUAUCUUGACUGUGCGAAGGUAGCAUAAUCAUUAGUCUUUUAAUUGGAGGCUUGUAUGAAUGGUUGAAUGAGAUAUAUACUGUCUUUUUUAAAAUUAUAUAGAAUUUUAUUUUUUAAUUAAAAAGUUAAAAUAAAAUUAAAGGACGAGAAGACCCUAUAGAUCUUUAUUUUUGUUAUUUAUUAGUUAAAAAGAAUUUUAAAACUUAUAUUUUAAUAAAAAAUUUUAUUGGGGUGAUAUUAAAAUUUAAAAAACUUUUAAAAUUUAUUAACAUUAAUAUAUGAAUAAAUGAUCCAGUUUUAUUGAUUAAAAAUUUAAGUUACCUUAGGGAUAACAGCGUAAUUUUUUUUUAGAGUUCAUAUCGACAAAAAAGAUUGCGACCUCGAUGUUGGAUUAAGAGUUAUUUUUAGGUGUAGAAGUUUAAAGUUUAGGUCUGUUCGACCUUUGAAUUCUUACAUGAUCUGAGUUCAAACCGGCGUAAGCCAGGUUGGUUUCUAUCCUUAAUUAAUUAUUAUAUUAUAGUACGAAAGGACCUAAUAUAAAAAAUAUAGAUUUUAAUAAUAUGAUUAAUAUUAAUAUUAGAUA
rnacentral:rRNA from 1 species